rnacentral:rRNA from 1 species
CCUACGGGAGGCAGCAGUGGGGAAUUUUGGACAAUGGGCGAAAGCCUGAUCCAGCAAUGCCGCGUGAGUGAAGAAGGCCUUCGGGCUGUAAAGCUCUUUUGUCAGGGAAGAAACGGUGAAAGCUAAUAUCUUUUGCUAAUGACGGUACCUGAAGAAUAAGCACCGGCUAACUACGUGCCAGCAGCCGCGGUAAUACGUAGGGUGCAAGCGUUAAUCGGAAUUACUGGGCGUAAAGCGUGCGCAGGCGGUUUUGUAAGUCUGAUGUGAAAUCCCCGGGCUCAACCUGGGAAUUGCAUUGGAGACUGCAAGGCUAGAAUCUGGCAGAGGGGGGUAGAAUUCCACGUGUAGCAGUGAAAUGCGUAGAUAUGUGGAGGAACACCGAUGGCGAAGGCAGCCCCCUGGGUCAAGAUUGACGCUCAUGCACGAAAGCGUGGGGAGCAAACAGGAUUAGAUACCCUGGUAGUCCACGCCCUAAACGAUGUCUACUAGUUGUCGGGUCUUAAUUGACUUGGUAACGCAGCUAACGCGUGAAGUAGACCGCCUGGGGUGGUACGGUUCGCGAGAGUUAAACGUACAANAGAGUGAGGCGNGAGAGNGCGACGGACGACGACGAGGGAGGAGG